rnacentral:lncRNA from 1 species
UUAUUAGGUUUUUUUUUUUUUUUUUAAUUGAAAUUUAUCUGGUUUAUUGAAAUAUAUAUAAUGUAUCAGGUGUGUCUAGUAUUGACAUGUGAUGGUUGAUUUUUCAUAUACUUUUUCAGCAUUUUUAGGAAUUGGUUUAUAUGUGUGGUAAGAUUAGAUGGGAUAUGAUUAUAAAUGACAGCAUCAGAGAGAGUUGGGGUAACAGCCAUAGUAGAAAAGAUGGUAGAAACUAGAGGUAGAGAAUCUAUUAAGAAGGAUCUAGAGAUUAAUGAGUUUGAGAAAGACAUGGUUUUUGAUGUAACACUAUGGCGUUGUUUAAUUGAUGCAGCUGACCGACCACACUUAGGGUCUGUUUGGUAAACCCAAAAAAAGAGCUUUUAGCUCUUAGCUUAUAGCUUAUAAGCUCGUUUCACAAAAAAAGUUCUGUUUGGUAACACUUUUUGACCAUGAGCUUAUAGCUUAUUUCACGAGCUUAUAAGCUAUUUUUCAGAAGCUAUUCCAAGUAGCGUUUGAGCUUAUAGCUUAUAGCUUCUCAUUUUUUGUCUCAUUUUUACCCUUAUCAAUUUAACAAAAAUUCAUAUCUACCCUUUGUAAUAAAUAACUACGUUGAAGAAAAACAUAGCACUUUUAAUCCCAGAUUUCACUUUAACUAAAUAUAUUUGCUCACGCUUUUAUUUAUUUUUACAAAAUAUUUGCUCAUGUUUACAAAAAUAAAAACUACAUUUUUUCUUAAAUAAUAUAUGUUACGUUUGCCUAAAUAAAUCAUAUUACGUUAUGCUUAAUUUUGUUUGAUUUUGGGUCAAUACGUUUAAUUUUGUUUUAGUGGGUAACAAUUAAUUUUUUUUUAAAGGUUUUGUUUAAUUUUUUUAUAAAGUCUAAAAACUGAAAUAAAAUCAAUUUUAAAUAAAACAUUAGCCAAUUUAUGAAUUUAAAAAUAACAUAUGAAAGACAUAUUAGAUUAAUAUAUUUAAACUAUGAAAUUUUAAAUAUUUUAAAUAUCAAUUGAUACAAAUUUUAUAAUGAAUUAAAAAUACCCUUUUAUGUCAUUUUACGUUUAUAAGCUAGUUGAACCGCUAAUUUUACCAAACACUUCAGUUAGCUUAUCAGCUAUCAGCUAGCUUAUCAGCUAAAAGCUAUCAGCUAGCUUAUCAGCUAAACGCUAUCAGCUAGCUUAUAAGCUAUCCGCUAUUUUUACCAAACAGAGCCUUAGUGGGAAAAAACUUGGUUGUUGUUGUUAAGGAACUGGUUUUCUACAUGUAUGGAUUAGUUUAGAGUUUAGACUAUAUAUAAUUUUGUUGGGUUAAGGAUAGAGAGAUAUUUUAGUUGCUAUCUUGCACAUCUCAUUUUUUAUUUAGCUACCUUUUAGGCUUUGUUUGAGAGUUUGAAGGGGAGUGUGAGGGCUUUGGGGGGAGAGGAACAGAGGAUAAAAUAGAGAAAUCUUACACGUUUUUGAAAGGGUGUUUUUGUAGAGAAUGAUAAAUGAAUGUUUAUGAUUAAUAUAUUUUUAAUAUUGAAAUAUGAGAAUAUUACAACAACAUAGAUUGAAUUUGAAGAUUUUGAAAUCUUCCUCCAAUGCAAUGUUUGAGUUCCUUCAAAUUAGGAGGAUUUUGAAUUAUGAAAGAAAAAAAAACCCUUUCAAAGCCCUCCCAUUCCGAAGUCUUCUAUUCCUUCCACUUGCUCCUUCCUUUUUUCCAAAGCCCUCCCCUCCCUUCCCUUCCCUUCCCUUCCCUUC